ACAUUUCUAGCAUUCUCAACCCCAUAUCGGCUAUGAAUGAUCCACUUGUAAUAUUAACACCUUAACUACCAAGAUAGGGAACCGAUAUCCAUGAAUCUAUUUCUUUAGCUUCAAGUCAAUCAACUUUACAAGCCUCCCCCCUCCCCCUUUUUUCUUUUCCAACAACUCAAAAACCAAAAUCAGAAACAAAAACAAUACGACACAGAAAACAGUGUAAACUCAUAGUCCGACAACCAGGAAAAAAAUAACUUUGCUAAUCUUUUGUAAGGAUUCUUGAAAUUAUAAGUCGUUGGAGCUAAACAGACCAUGUAAACUGGAUUGGAAGGUCAAUAUGAAAGAGAGGGCAUCAAAUAAAUCCGCCUUAUAAUCAUGACCACAAUAAUUACACUUCGCUCUAUCAACUCUGUUAGCAUCUUUGAACUUCUAAAAAUGUUCCCAAGCACUUGGUCUAGAUUGUAUGGUUUCUCUUUUCUUUGUACCUAUACUAGUAGUUUCAACCAAAUUUGUAGGUGAAGAAGUUCACUUUCAGUUAAACCCACCUCAUUUACUCUACUUUCAA
rnacentral:lncRNA from 1 species